ACUUUAAACAGCGUGAUCUGCGAAUAAACACAGCCAGUAAACAAUGGAGUGUAGGCUAUGCCCACAUAUAGGAAGAGUACACACACACAAGCCAAAUUGCACAAGUGUAAACUUUGAAUAGGACGUCGCGCCUCUGUAAAUUUACACAGACAUUAAAUUUCGUUCUAUUCAUUUUAGACAUAUAAUGCUAAGCUGAUUUUUUUUUAUAGCACACUGAUCGAUAUCUCUGUAAAAUAAUCAUUUUUUUUUUAACUAGCGGGGCAGUGAAAUCUUUGCUUUGUGCUAAAGUCAACAGUGACAGAGUUUGAGCUCAAAUAAAUGCCGUGAUGUCUGGAGCCCUUUGCAGAAGGCAGAAGGCGAGCUUCUACAAUGGGCUCCUGUGUGGCUUGCCAACCACAAGCGUCGGCUAUUCUGCACAGAGCUUCUGUGUGCUGUUGCUGCUCCUCACCAGCUUGACAGGAAGAGCGCACUUCAGAUCGCAGCAUCUUCAGCAGCGGAGGCCAAAACAGACAGAGAGACGGAACAAAAGCGGAACGUGUGGGAGAAAACGAGGAGGACGAGAGGAGGAGCAACGCUUUCUGUCAGCACACUACAGAGAUCACCCCUUGCAUCUGCUUUAACGACCCAUAAUGCAUUAUAAUUUCUAAUAAUGAGAAUCCUAUGGAGGUUUAUUGGGCCAUGGAGCCAUUUAUGUAACAUUUGAAUCAGAAUGAAUUUUUAUAUUUAUCAUCAAAUGAAUAGUACCAAGUAUAUUUAAUUAACACAUAAUGUUGUCAACGACUGGAGGGACCAAUAUUAUUGUGAAGAAUUAGUAUAGCAAUUCCUAAAAUGUUCAUUAUAAGAUAAAAAGAAGGAAAUAGAUAAUGGUAUUACACAGACUGCAUUAUUUACAAACGGGCCCCUUUUUUUAUAUUACAAUGAAACCCAAACAGUUUGAUUGAUUUAUUGAUCAGUUUAUUUAGAUUUGGUGCACAGCCUGAACUGGCCUUCAACACACAAGGCACACAAAACAAGGUGGUAACACUUCAACAACACAACGCUGAAAAUAAAGGUAAAGAAAAAGAAAACACUGAGAUUUGUACAGAACAACACCUGCACAGACGUUUCUAAAAGAGCACACAAGAACCUCUUCUUUCUCUGGGAAUUCUAUCGUAACAUCGCUCUGUGUUGUCAUCUGUCAUUUGAAUGCCAUCUUUCAUCUAUUUAAGAUUCGCAAAAACUCCUCUAAAUUGUCCUUGUGAGUAUAAAUUGUUUCUUUUGUUUUUGGAGUCACUGCAAUCAGACAAGAGGAUUGUCUCCGGAUGAAAGACCGAUGACAAUACUGAUAAGAUAAGAAAGCCCUUUAGAGACUUUCUGACUGUUUGCGUGUGUGUGUGUGUGUGUGUGCGUGUGUCUGCGUGUGUGCGUCGCCUCUGCGUCUUGGUCUGCUCCCUGAGUCUGCCUUCUGGAGCGCGUGUGUGUCGGUGUGUGAGGGCGCAUGUUGCUGCUUGCUUCUCUCUGAGGCCUCGCUCGGAUGGAGCGAAGAGACGGCGCAGGGGGGAGGGGCCAAGGAGAGAGCAGGGUGGCGGAAAAAUGACGAGCCCCGGUAAAAGGAGGGCUUCCUGGGAGCUCCACGUCUAACGAGAGGAGGCCCGUGGCGCACAGACCACAGCGUCCUCCGCCUCCUCCUCCUCCUCCUCCUCCUCCUCUUCCUCUUCCAUUAACCCUCGCAGCGCCUGCUUGCCCAGGUACAGACGGAUUCAUUGAAAGCACCGACAGCUGCUCCAUGGGUGGGAUCCCGCGUGUUUACUUUUACCUGUAGACUCAGAGGACUCGUCCUAAACCCAAUGAAAGCUCCAAUGUGUCAUAAGUGACAGAAAAACGAAAACACUGUCACGGAACCGUAAGAUGACACUAUGAUCAUUUUGAAGUUGAUUAAUUGAAAUGAUUUGCUGUA